CCUACGGGCGGCAGCAGUGGGGAAUAUUGGGCAAUGGGCGCAAGCCUGACCCAGCAACGCCGCGUGAAGGAAGAAGGCUCUCGGGUUGUAAACUUCUUUUAAGGGGGAAGAGCAGAAGACGGUACCCCUUGAAUAAGCCACGGCUAACUACGUGCCAGCAGCCGCGGUAAUACGUAGGUGGCAAGCGUUGUCCGGAUUUACUGGGUGUAAAGGGCGUGCAGCCGGAGAGACAAGUCAGAUGUGAAAUCCACGGGCUCAACCCGUGAACUGCAUGGCUGGAGUACAGGAGGGGCAGGCGGAAUUCCUAGUGUAGCGGUGAAAUGCGUAGAUAUUAGGAGGAACACCGGUGGCGAAGGCGGCCUGCUGGACUGUGACUGACGUUGAGGCCCGAAGGCGUGGGGAGCAAACAGGAUUAGAUACCCUAGUAGUC
rnacentral:rRNA from 1 species